AACGAACGCUGGCGGCAGGCUUAACACAUGCAAGUCGAGCGCCCCGCAAGGGGAGCGGCAGACGGGUGAGUAACGCGUGGGAACGUACCCUUUGCUACGGAAUAGCUCCGGGAAACUGGAAUUAAUACCGUAUGUGCCCUACGGGGGAAAGAUUUAUCGGCAAAGGAUCGGCCCGCGUUGGAUUAGCUAGUUGGUGGGGUAAUGGCCUACCAAGGCGACGAUCCAUAGCUGGUCUGAGAGGAUGAUCAGCCACAUUGGGACUGAGACACGGUCCAAACACCUACGGGAGGCAGCAGGGGGGAAUAUUGGACAAUGGGCGCAAGCCUGAUCCAGCCAUGCCGCGUGAGUGAUGAAGGCCUUAGGGUUGUAAAGCUCUUUCACCGGAGAAGAUAAUGACGGUAUCCGGGGAAGAAGCCCCGGCUAACUUCGUGCCAGCCGCCGCCGUAACAC
rnacentral:rRNA from 1 species